UCCUACGGGGGGCAGCAGUGGGGAAUUUUGGACAAUGGGGGCAACCCUGAUCCAGCAAUGCCGCGUGUGUGACGAAGGCCUUCGGGUUGUAAAGCACUUUUGGCAGGAACGAAAGUGGGCUGGCUAAUACCUGGCCCCGAUGACGGUACCUGCAGAAUAAGCACCGGCUAACUACGUGCCAGCAGCCGCGGUAAUACGUAGGGUGCAAGCGUUAAUCGGAAUUACUGGGCGUAAAGCGUGCGCAGGCGGUUUUGUAAGACAGGCGUGAAAUCCCCGGGCUCAACCUGGGAACUGCGCUUGUGACUGCAAGACUAGAGUGUGUCAGAGGGAGGUGGAAUUCCGCGUGUAGCAGUGAAAUGCGUAGAGAUGCGGAGGAACAUCGAUGGCGAAGGCAGCCUCCUGGGAUAACACUGACGCUCAUGCACGAAAGCGUGGGGAGCAAACAGGAUUAGAUACCCUUGUAGUCC
rnacentral:rRNA from 1 species